UUUAAAUAUCCUAAACUUUCUACAUACUUCUAAUAAGCUUUAAUUUCUGCUAUAUUGGUAAUUCUUUUGUGUAUUUAAUAAAUUUGAAUGUUGUGCUCAUUGUUGGAGAAUUGCUGAUUACCAAAAGACAAAUGUGAUAAAUUAAUUUUCAAGAUAUAAAGUUUCCUCUUCUUAACUUUUUAUUUGAUCUGAUUUUCAACAUUCCAAUACACCUGAAACGUGACUUAUAACUCAGGUAUCAACCAUUUAUAAGAACCAAGGUAAAGAAUAAGUUUGGAUUGAAAUAAUUUCUCCAUAUAUUAUUGGUACUGUUACUAAAUAAAAGGUCGUACUGUUUCAAAUCUGAAGUUAACUUUGAUUUAAAAGCAAAUACUACGUCUCAGAGUGAUUUUGUGAUAAUAUUCCUCUUCGUUCCUGCAAAUUUUAUAAAUAACAUCAUCUGUGCUAAGCUCAAUUGUGAACAUUUGGAAACAUGGAAAAUUAUUUUCGUAACAGUUGCUUUGCAAAGUUAACAGAGAACGCCAAAAGUUAUCACUGGCAGGAUGUAUUCAUGUGUUUAGGCAUUGAACCGAACUCUACAAUUGAGUUAUUUAAUGUAGACUUUAAAAAGUUGAGUGGCGUUCUAUGUGUCAAUGACAACCCUUUGUUGAUCAAAGCAAAUGUUAUGUAUACAUAUUUGCAAAGUUUUAUAGGAAGCAUUCACUUAAUUGACGAUAUUCUAUUUUUUGCCAUUAUCUUAAUGUCAUUUCUUACGAUAUGUCGCGCAAGUAUAAAUUAUCGUUACGAAAUAUUUAGAUUCCUUCAAAUAUGUGCUAUAAGGACUUUUAAUUUGUUCUGUGUACCAUUUCGGAAAUUGGGGUUUAUGCGAAAAUUUUUCAAAAGUAAGUCUAAAAAGAAAUAUAAUACGUUAGAUGAUACAAAGAGCAAAUUACUGGGCAAGCGUCAAGAACAAGACAGGCAAAAUACUAAACAAAGUUAAAAACGGAGCACUUUCUUGUGUUGAAUUUGUUUCCAU